rnacentral:rRNA from 1 species
AACGAACGCUGGCGGCAGGCCUAACACAUGCAAGUCGAACGCCCUAGCAAUAGGGAGUGGCAGACGGGUGAGUAACACGUGGGAACGUGCCCUUCGGUUCGGAAUAACUUAGGGAAACUUGAGCUCAUACCGGAUACGUGCGAGAGCAGAAAGAUUUAUCGCCGAAGGAUCGGCCCGCAUCCGAUUAGCUAGUUGGUGAGGUAAUGGCUCACCAAGGCGACGAUCGGUAGCUGGUCUGAGAGGAUGACCAGCCACACUGGGACUGAGACACGGCCCAGACUCCUACGGGAGGCAGCAGUGGGGAAUAUUGGACAAUGGGCGCAAGCCUGAUCCAGCCAUGCCGCGUGAGUGAUGAAGGCCCUAGGGUUGUAAAGCUCUUUCGCCAGGGACGAUAAUGACGGUACCUGGAUAAGAAGCCCCGGCUAACUUCGUGCCAGCCGCCGCCGUAA